AGCGAACGCUGGCGGCAGGCCUAACACAUGCAAGUCGAACGAACCCUUCGGGGUUAGUGGCGGACGGGUGAGUAACACGUGGGAACGUGCCUUUAGGUUCGGAAUAACUCUGGGAAACUUGUGCUAAUACCGAAUGUGCCCUUCGGGGGAAAGAUUUAUCGCCUUUAGAGCGGCCCGCGUCUGAUUAGCUAGUUGGUGAGGUAAUGGCUCACCAAGGCUACGAUCAGUAGCUGGUCUGAGAGGAUGACCAGCCACAUUGGGACUGAGACACGGCCCAAACUCCUACGGGAGGCAGCAGUGAGGAAUCUUGCGCAAUGGGCGAAAGCCUGACGCAGCCAUGCCGCGUGGAUGAUGAAGGUCUUAGGAUUGUAAAAUCCUUUCACCGGUGAAGAUAAUGACUGUAGCCGGAGAAGAAGCCCCGGCUAACUUCGUGCCAGCCGCCGCAGUAAAAC
rnacentral:rRNA from 1 species